UACGGAGGAUGCAAGCGUUAUCCGGAUUUAUUGGGUUUAAAGGGUGCGCAGGUUGUUUGAUAAGUCAGUGGUGAAAGUCUGUCGCUUAACGGUAGGAUUGCCAUUGAUACUGUUGGACUUGAAUAUGGAUGAGGUAGGCGGAAUGUGUAGUGUAGCGGUGAAAUGCAUAGAUAUUACACAGAACACCGAUUGCGAAGGCAGCUUACUAAUCCAUCAUUGACGCUGAGGCACGAAAGCGUGAGGAUCAAA
rnacentral:rRNA from 1 species